UUUGUCCCAUGGAAACAGUAGCACCUUUAAAGUAGCAUCACUGAAGACGUUCUAUGAUCUUGUACUGCUCCAAUGGUAGAAGAUUUAACUUGGGAGCAGUUGAAAGCUUUGUGCAAUUCCCCAGUGCUACCCAGCCCUCUCUCUUCCUCCUUGUGAAUCCUGGGUGAUUUCCCUCCAGUUUCUAUUUGGGCCACCUCUAAAGGAGAGCAGGGUCCAGGAAGACUUCUACUGGUUGGGGGUUGGGAACCUGGACAAAUCAUACUGUGUGCUCACCCCACCAUCCCUAGGCUUCAGAGUUUAUGAAAACAGCUAAAAUCAUUGUCAAAUUGACCAUCGAGGGGAACCUUGAAAAGGAAAAGAAUCCUAAAGCCCACCAUUCUCUGAAUACUGGGGGGAUAAGAAAAGGCAGAGAAAGCUCCAUCCAUUCUUUUGCCUUAGCAACAAGUUCACUCAAUCAACAAGCAUCUUGCUUACUGCUGGGGAAACAAAUACAAUAAAUGGAAUAUGUCUACUCUUACAGCCUCACUUAGGAGACAAGAACCUACAUAAAUACAUGGGAAAUAAAUGAAGAGAGUAAAUAUAGAACAAUCAAAUACAAUGGUUCAGGAUUAUUUGGGACACCUUCUUAGUGAGUGCCUGCUUCCAUCCCAAUCCAAAACGGAGCUAGAGAAUCUGGCCCCUUUUCCUUGGUGGUUCCAUCCAGGUCAUUCAUUAGUUGCCCAGGCAUACCCAAUGUCUCUGAGUCAGGGUUGUGUAAGUAAUCCUGAGACAGCUGCACCUAAUAAAUAAUGCAUCAUGUCAAUGA